rnacentral:rRNA from 1 species
UACGGGGGGGGGCAAGCGUUGUUCGGAAUUACUGGGCGUAAAGCGUGCGCAGGCGGUUUUGUAAGUCAGAUGUGAAAUCCCCGGGCUUAACCUGGGAACUGCAUUUGUGACUGCACGGCUAGAGUGUGUCAGAGGGGGGUAGAAUUCCACGUGUAGCAGUGAAAUGCGUAGAUAUGUGGAGGAAUACCGAUGGCGAAGGCAGCCCCCUGGGAUAACACUGACGCUCAUGCACGAAAGCGUGGGGAGCAAACAGG